GACGAACGCUGGCGGUGUGCUUAACACAUGCAAGUGGUGCGACGAACCAGAGCUUGCUCUGGGGCAAAGCCGCGAACGGGUGAGUAACACGUGGGUAAUCUACCCCGAUGACCGGGACAACCCGAGGAAACUCGGGCUAAUACCGGAUGUGGUGCGGAGACAUAAGUCUCUUCACUAAAGGUAGCUUCGGCUUCCGCAUUGGGAGGGGCCCGCGGCCCACUAGCUUGUUGGUGGGGUCAAGGCCUACCAAGGCAACGAUGGGUAGCUGGUCUGAGAGGACGAUCAGCCACACUGGGACUGAGACACGGCCCAGACUCCUACGGGAGGCAGCAGUGGGGAAUCUUGCGCAAUGCGCGAAAGCGUGACGCAGCAACACCGCGUGAGGGAAGAAGGCCUUAGGGUUGUAAACCUCUUUCAGAUGGGACGAAGGUUCUCCGGUGAAUAGCCGAGAGGAUUGACGGUACCGCCAGAAGAAGCUCCGGCUAACUACGUG
rnacentral:rRNA from 1 species